UAUGGGGAUAGAUAGAAAGAUAGAAAGAUAGAGCAGGUGGAUGGGGAUAGAUAAAUAGAUAGAUAGAUAGAUAGAUAGAUAGAUAGAUAGAUAGAAUGGGUGGAUGGGGAUAGAUAGGUAGAGGGGGUGUAAGUGGAUGGAUAGAUAGGGUGUAAGGGGCUAGAUAGCUAGAUGGAUAGCUAGACGGAUAGAGGCGGUGAAUGGAGAUAGACAGACAGAUAGAUGGAGUGGGUGGAUGAGGAUAGAUAGAUGGAGUGGGUGGAUGGGGAUAGAUAGAUGGAUAGCUAGACAGAUAGAAGUGGUAUAUGGGGAUAGAUAGAUAGAGGGGGUGUAUAGAGAUAGAUAGACAGAAAGAUAGACAGAUAAAGUGGGUGGAUGAGGAUAGCUAGCUAGCUAGAGGGGGUGUUUGGGGAUAGAUAGAACAGGUGUAUGGAGAUAGAUAGAUAGGUAGGGUGUAAGGGGAUAGAUAGAUUGACAGAUAGAGUGGGUGUAUGGG